UACGUAGGUGGCGAGCGUUGUCCGGAUUUACUGGGCGUAAAGAGCGCGCAGGCGGUCGUACAAGUCAGGGGUGAAAUCCCGGGGCUCAACCCCGGAACUGCCUUUGAUACUGGCAUUCUCGAGUCCGGAAGAGGUGAGUGGAAUUCCGAGUGUAGAGGUGAAAUUCGUAGAUAUUCGCAAGAACACCAGUGGCGAAGGCGGCUCACUGGCCCGAUACUGACGCUGAGGCACGAAAGCGUGGGGAGCAAACAGG
rnacentral:rRNA from 1 species